rnacentral:rRNA from 1 species
GCGUUGGCUUGACAUCCCACGAACCUGCCUGAAAGGGUAGGGUGCCCGCAAGGGAACGUGGAGACAGGUGGUGCAUGGCUGUCGUCAGCUCGUGUAGUGAGAUGUUGGGUUAAGUCCCGCAACGAGCGCAACCCUCACCCCUAGUUGCCACCGGGUAAAGCCGAGCACUCGAGGGGAACUGCCAGCGUCAAGCUGGAGGAAGGCGGGGAUGACGUCAAGUCAUCAUGCCCCUUACGUCCUGGGCUACACCCGUGCUACAAUGGCCAAUACAAAGGGAUGCGAGACCGCGAGGUGGAGCUAAUCCCAAAAAGCGGUCUAAGGUUCAGAUUGCAGUCUGCAACUCGACUGCAUGAAGGAGGAAUCGCUAGUAAUCGCGCAUCAGCCCGGCGCGUGAAUACGUUCCCGGGCCUUGUACACACCGCCCGUCACACCACGAAAGCUUACUGUACUCGAAAGUCGCUGAU